UCCCAUAGUUUGCAUCUCCCUGAAGGCUGAUCGCAUUUAUUUUCUUUAGCACCUGCAAGAAAGAACACUUUGAGGAUGGCCUUGAACUUGCAAUCCUCCUGCCUCAGCCUCCUGAGCAGCUGCUAUUUACAGUUGCACAUCACCACACCUGGCUGAUUUGGGGUUCUGGAAUUGCUGCUCCGGACACAGCGAUUCUGUCUGCCAUGAUACCUGUGCUUUCUCAGGAGCCAGGCCAACUCUUGGUAAAGGAAAAGAAACCCAAUGGACAGAGCUAUGGUGGACCUUAGGAGACAACUGAGAGGAG